AGCCACUGGCUCGUUCUCUCGUUGCCACCUCUCCCCAUCGAACCUUCCCAGCGCCACACCGGCCCCGCCACCCCGGACCACCUCUCUCCCUCGCCAAGCCCCCCUCUCUCGUUUCCCUAGCACCAGCCUCGCCCCCACGUCGCCCUGCACCACCUCGCGACCGGAGCCACCACGCCAAGGCCCCCUCCUCCACCCAGCGCAUCGGCACCACCCCUGGNNN
rnacentral:lncRNA from 1 species